CUCUUUCUCACAGACCUCCCUGGUGGGCUUUCGGAUCUGGCUUCACGUUCCCUUAAUUGGGUUUCUACGGGCUGGGGACCACACCAACCACACUGGUCUCUGACGAGCAUUUUUACCAGGGUGCAGUGUAUGAGGGCCUGAAGGUUUAAGAGAAAAGUAGCAGACUAUCAAUCGGCAUAAUGGAUGUUGAGCUAGGUGCACCAAGAACUUAUCUUGGACAAGAGCACCAGAAAAUUUGACAGAUACUAUUUCAACAUGAUAAUGGACAACUUGGUCACAAUUUAUACAGGAGUUACCAGGAGGACACGUAAAUUCUGUUAAUAUAAUUAAAGAC